rnacentral:lncRNA from 1 species
ACCUGCUCUCUUGGGAUGCUAGAGUUCUCUCUUAGAGUUUUAGUGACCCUAGUAAUCCAACUUUUGAUAGAUGUAUAUGGCAUAGAUUUUGGAUGUUUUAAUAUGUUUUUCUAUUUGAAAUUACUUUUGUAAUUGUAUUUUGAUAAUCAAUGAAAAUCUGAUCUUCAUUAAAAAUUUAGUGUGUUUGAUGUGCUCACUCACUUGAUGCUUACAUUUGUGUUUAUCUAUUUGAUUGAAAUUAUGCUUUAUUUAUAAAACAAAAGGAGAGAAUUAAGAAAAAUAAAUUUUUUGAUAUUUAUUUUUGAAACCAGAGGAAGAAAUCAAAAUUAGAAAGAGAAAUGAUCUUUGAACAUAAUAAGAAAUCAUUAAUAUUUUGCUCCAAUCAU